rnacentral:rRNA from 1 species
GACGAAGGCAUGUAACCUCUGCGCACGGACGGAAGUGUGCGUUAAAGGCCGUAGGUAUAAGACGAGUAGGUAAAUCCGCUUGUUUUGCUGAAAGCUGAUAGUACAGCAACCCUUCGGGGGCGCUGAUAAUGAGGCCAAAUAUACUUCCAAGAAAACCCUCUAAGCGUUUACACUACAGCCACCCGUACCGCAAACCGACACAGGUAGUCAAGUGGAG